rnacentral:rRNA from 1 species
AACGAACGCUGGCGGCAGGCCUAACACAUGCAAGUCGAACGCCCUAGCAAUAGGGAGUGGCGCACGGGUGCGUAACGCGUGGGAAUAUGCCCUUGACUGCGGGACAACGUUUGGAAACGAACGCUAAUACCGCAUAAUGACUCCGGUCCAAAGAUUUAUCGGUCAAGGGUUAGCCCGCGUCUGAUUAGCUAGUUGGUGAGGUAACGGCUCACCAAGGCGACGAUCAGUAGCUGGUCUGAGAGGAUGAUCAGCCACACUGGGACUGAGACACGGCCCAGACUCCUGCGGGAGGCAGCAGUGAGGAAUAUUGGACAAUGGGCGCAAGCCUGAUCCAGCCAUGCCGCGUGAGUGACGAAGGCCUUCGGGUUGUAAAGCUCUUUCAGAUGCAAAGAUAAUGACGGUAACAUCAGAAGAAGCCCCGGCUAAAUUCGUGCCAGCAGCCGCCGUAA